CGGAUAAGUAAAUCUUUUGUGAAAUUGUUGAGCUAAACUUAACAGCGUGCAGAAGACACUGCUUGUCUCGAGACCGGGGAGAGUUAGAAGUAUUCAAGGGGUAGCAGUAAAAUGCGAUAAUCCCUUGCAGACUACCUGUGGCGAAAGCGUCUAACUAAAACGGGUCUGACGGUGAGGGACGAAAGCUGGGGGAGCGAUCCGGAUUAGAUACCCGAGUAGUCCCAGCUGUAAACUCUGCGAGCCAGGUGUCGCGCAUUCUACGGGAAUGUGCGGUGUCGUAGCGAAGGCGUUAAGCUCGCCGCCUGGGAA
rnacentral:rRNA from 1 species